rnacentral:rRNA from 1 species
AGCCAGCCGCCGAAGGUGGGGCAGAUGAUUGGGGUGAAGUCGUAACAAGGUAUCCCUACCGGAAGGUGGGGAUGGAUCACCUCCUUUCU